GAUUAAACCAACACACAUAGUAACCUUUGUCCUGUGCUUGAUCUUCUGGUCAAAUUUUUGCAAGCAGUAGAACCCUUCCAGAAAUGACAGAGAAGAAAUGCAGUUGUGAUGUGAAGUGAGGGCAUGCAGAAUUCUACCUAUUGUACUUUGCAUUCUCAACAGGAGCCUUGGAAGGGGCGGCAAGGGUGGCAGUUCAGAGACAGACUGCCUGGGCUUGCGUUCUGAUUUGCAGAAGAACUUCCCACACAGGAGCCCAACCCUGGACAGUGACGGUGACCCAUGGAGAAUGCAUCAUGCCUGUCAGGGUCCUGUUGGUUCAGCGGCUGGGGAGGCAGCACCCUGCUGGGAGCGGUCACUUCCCACGAAGAUGGAUGGCUUUCUCUGUCCCGGCGACACUCUAACUGCCAGAGAUCCACCCGCGCUCACUGAAGACCUCUAUGUAUGAAGGAAGAGGAAGAGAGAGGGAAGGAAUAAGGAAAGAGGAUAUAGGACUGGAGAGAAGGAAAAAAACAAAAGGAAAAGGCAGAAGAAAGCUGAGUCCAUGUUUCAUGGACAGACAAGGUUUCGUCUGGAGUCAUCUUUUCUUAGCUAUGGGAUCCUAAACACAUUACUUAAUUCUUCCAAACCUCAGUUCCUCUCAUCUAUGAAAAAUGAAGACAAAGUAUCUAUUUUAGAGAAUUUUAAAGUCGUAAAUGUAUGAGAUAGAUGAUACCAAGUGUGAUACUCAAUACAGAGCAGGUGCUCAGCAAUUUUUCCACCUUCUUUAGAAUCAUUUAAAAAAAAUUAGCACUGCUUUUUUAAAACAGAUGAUCACUCAAGGACAGUCUCUUUGUACAGGACCAGCUGCAUCAUUUGUAGGACCUGGUGCCAAAUGAAAAUGUGGGUCCCUUGUUCUAGAAAACUAGGUUCAGAUAUUGCACAUGUUAAAUGCAGAUGCAGGACACGAAAUGGUGGAGGAGAUGCCCAUGACACAUCUCCUCUGCUCAUUGUCCCGUCAGACUUCACAUGCAACAAAAAGAU
rnacentral:lncRNA from 1 species